GAUGAUGAUCAUAAAAGAAAUUUAUGGAUCUAUUUUAGUUGUAUAUUUUAAUUAUAACAAUAUAUAACUCUUUCAUGAGUUAAUUGUUCUUCUUCCUCAAUUUUCUUUGAUCUUUUAAUUCCCAGAAUAUAUAUUUAUAUGUGUGUUUUCUGGGAAUUAUACACUUAAAUGUGUACUGAAAUUCUCUCUGCAUCCCUGUUUCCUUUUAAAUUUGAUUGUCAGCUUACUUACUAUUUAAGGACUAAUUGUUGGCAGAUAUUGGCUUUAGUUUAUGAUAUGUAUUUAUAAACAUAUAUAUGAUUAAGCUGGUUAUAAUUACAAAGUGUUUUGUUCCCUUUUGAAGUAUUCUUCAUUUACUAUACAUAAUAGCUAUGUGUGUGUGUAUACAUACAUAUAUAUAUAUAUAUGUAUGCGUGCGUAUGUAUUAUACCCUUCUAGCACUUGUUAAUAUUUCAUCGUCUUCUUCUUCCCUCCCUGCAGCCUCGCAGAGUUGCAGUGCUGUUGAUUUGUGACAUACUAACAUAUGUGUGUGUGUGUCUAUAUAUAUAUAUAGCUGUCUUGAUCAUCUUGUUGACCAAACAUUUUCAUUUUGCUUGGGAAAACAAUCAGCAGACAUGGCUUAUACAUAGAUAAUAUAUAUA
rnacentral:lncRNA from 1 species